UUAAUUUUUUCAAAAUUAAAUUUCAAAUUAACAGUUGUUAUUUAAUCAUCAUAUUGGAUCAAUGGUUCACAUUCAAUAUACCUUUUUCUAUCAAGUCACAUCACUUCUUACACAGUCAUAAUCAAAUGAAAAAGUACAAAGGGCAAUUUAGGUAGCAAAAAUUCUGAAAAAUAUAAAGUGGUGGGGUAGAGUGGCUGUUUGGGAAGAUUACCACUCAUGAGUGGCUAUUUGGGAAGAUACACCUAAAUGUGGUGGUUUUUUGAGAAAUUUUCCUAAAAAAAACAACGAAUACAGAGUUCCGUCUUAUUCAAUUUAAAAAAAAACCGGAAUACAAAGUUCCGUCUUAUAUUUAGUAAAAUUACCGAACUCAAAGUUCCGUCUUAUAAGCCAUUUAAUUUUCCUAAACUGACAUUUCCAAAUUUUCCCAUUGGCACCACUUCGCAGGAGUUUUUGACUACCAUGAAUAGAGAGUGAUUUUGAAGGUGGUUUUGCUUAUGUGGCACCUACGUGGAGGGCACCAAACUGCCCUCCCAUUGGGAUUGCUCUUAGAAAUUAUUUUGGGCUACAUAGGAUUCACAUCCUCACGUCCAUAAAAUUGACAUUCUAACUCACAAUAGCAUUGGAGAUCCUCUAAGUCUGUAUCAAGAUGACACAAGUCCGUCACUGAUUCAGGUCUACCAUCAAUUUUUAAGCCCUUUGUGGCUUUGUCUCCUCCGCCACGGUGUGCAACAAAAUAGAAUUGGAUACGAUGGCUGCUACACUUUCUGGCUCUUGUAAGGUCCCUUCUUAGUGCUGAACUGACCAUACAGAAUUUACUGAUUAAGGUGAACUAGAUAGAAAGUGCCGUGCUCAAAACAUACCCGCAUAAGUUCAUAGAUUAGAAGCUUAAGAAGAAUCAUCCAACUAGAAGGUUGUAGCAGUAGAGCACUCCUUCUGAUAGCCCUUCUCUUUCUAGAGAAUUAUUUUCUCAAAUGAGGUGAACGAGACAUGUUAUUGAUUACUUUCAAGCAAAGUACAAAAAUG
rnacentral:lncRNA from 1 species